GAGAAGAACGUAGCGAAAUGCGAUAAGUAAUGUGAAUUGCAGAAUUCAGUGAAUCAUCGAAUCUUUGAACGCACAUUGCGCCCAUUAGCAUUCUAGUGGGCAUGCCUGUUCGAGCGUCAUUUCAACCCUUAAGCCCUGUUGCUUAGCGUUGGGAGCCUACAGUACUGUAGCUCCCCAAAGUUAGUGGCGGAGUCGGUUUCACACUCUAGACGUAGUAAUUUUUUCUCGUCUGUAGUUGAGCCGGUCCCCUGCCGUAAAACACCCAAUUUAUCAAGGUUGACCUCGGAUCAGGUAGGAUUACCCGCUGAACUUAAGCAUAUCAAUAAGCGGAGGA
rnacentral:misc_RNA from 1 species